rnacentral:rRNA from 1 species
GGCGCAGACGGUUACUUAAGCAGGAUGUGAAAUCCCACGGCUCAACCGUGGAGGGUCAUUGGAAACUGGGAGACUUGAGUGCAGAAGAGGAAAGUGGAAUUCCAUGUGUAGCGGUGAAAUGCGUAGAGAUAUGGAGGAACACCAGUGGCGAAGGCGACUUUCUGGUCUGUAACUGACACUGAGGCGCGAAAGCGUGGGGAGCAAACAGGAUUAGAUACCCUGGUAGUCCACGCCGUAAACGAUGAGUGCUAAGUGUUAGAGGGUUUCCGCCCUUUAGUGCUGAAGUUAACGCAUUAAGCACUCCGCCUGGGGAGUACGGCCGCAAGGCUGAAACUCAAAAAUUAGACGG